AUCCUUGUAGUGCAAUACAUAGCACGUUGGACUUCUAAUCCAAAGAUCGUGGGUUCGAAUCCCACCUGGGAUG
rnacentral:tRNA from 1 species